CAGAGAAAAAAGACAAUAUAUGGGAGGGGGAACAUUUUUAAACAUUGCACCUGACAGCAAUUAACUCCUAAAUUUUUAAGCAAGUAACUGAUGGCCACAAGAAGCUCAAACAGCACAAUGAGUAUGAAACAUCCACCUUUCAUGUUAAAAAAGAGCCAACCACAUUGUUUUUUGGGACAAGAUCUCUCACUGGUCUGGAACUCUUGAAGUCGGCUGAACUGCAUUGACGUUGAGUGCCGGGGAUCUUCCUGUCUCUGGCUCUUCCGUGCUGGGACCGUCUUUCCCAAGUUUAUGUAAGCUCAGGGAAACUAACUGAGGUAUGUGUGCUCAUAAAUCAGGUGCUUUCCUGACUGAAUCAUCUCCCAAUCCCCACUUCUUUUGGAACACUCAUCACCAUGUGGUUCAUGUAGACAUCACUCAUCAGUACUAUGUAUGAUGAAUUUGUCCUAGUAAAC